CAUCAUCUGGAAAAUCAUCAUCACAAAGCCAAGCUCCCAGAUCUGUCCUCUGAAAUUCUGCUGCUACCAAUGCAUAAAAUUCCAAGUUCAUUAUGCAAUGAACUGCAACCCAACUGAAUUACUACCUGGUAUAACUACCUACAGGAACACAGCUGUGUCUUCAAAUCACAUGUUGAAGAACCAAAUUUCUUCACAGGAAAUGUCCAGGAGAAUAUCAGAGAAAAGAUAAGCUACUCAUCAUAAACUUCUAACACAAUGAAUGAAAAAUGGAAUGAAAAAUGUUACAAGUGUCCCAAAGUUCUGAAGUUUCCCAGCAUCUUCCCAUUUUUCCUGCUACCUGCCUAUAAUGUUUAAGAUCUGGAAGGCCAAGUUUAUCUUGUUAGGAUGAGGUUCUUCUGUGAGUUACUACCUCAAAAAGUUAUUUUGAAUAAAU
rnacentral:lncRNA from 1 species